rnacentral:lncRNA from 1 species
AUGCAGGCUCAGGAAGCGGCGCCGCAUCGCGCGCGUGGAGUGCACGCCCUGGGCGCGGUCGGCUUUGCCGGGGUCCCCAGAAAAGUGCGGUUCUGGUCUCGCCCUCAGACCCAGUACAAGUGGCGAGGAACCGGGGGGGAGACUUGCGAGUUGCACGACUCCUUGGAGUUUUGCAGGUUUUUUUUUUUUUUUUUUCUGAUUAAAAUAGCAAACUUGCUGAAAGUCGUCGAUGGCGUGUGCGGUGCGGGCCUGGCCCACGGCUGCUCCUCCGUGGGGUACAGGCCGCCCCCCUUCCCCGGCACGGACCCGCGAGGCCGUGGGCGGACCCAGCGUCUUGAAGACGGGGGACCACCUUGCGGUUUCGUUGUGAAAAUUAGCAUUUUUCUUCUAGCGGCUGAACGCUUGUGCGGCAAUAAAAAGUGGAUUGUUAGGCUUAUAAAUCUUGAGCUUGUCAGAUUUUACAACAGAGGAGCAAUAAAGCGCCUCGCAGCGGCCCGGGGCCCCAACGCCGGGCUCCGCCGCGCCUCCGGGGCGCCCUCUGCCGGCCGGAGACUUGGGGCGCGGCGGGGAGCCCCGGCUCGACCUGAACCCCGGAGCCACCGCCAGGUGUUCUGAAGUGUGGCCAACAAAAUGGGGUGCUCCCGCCGUAGGGCUCAUGAAGAGGAAUUGAAAAACAUAUAUAUAUAUAUAUAUUUACUGUCAAGGCUUUGCUAACAAAGCACUUGCAGACACACAGCGUCCUGUUCGACCAUGCUUUUAAAGGACUUAUAGCUGCAUGUCACCGAGUUGAUUGUAGAUAGGAAUUGAGAGAGAGAGAGAGAGGGUACCUUUUUUUUUUUUUUUUGGCUCUAAUCGUUUUGGGUGCGCGGCCUUAUCUAACGAUUUCAGGGGCUCCCUCCCUCCGCGCCCCUAUCAAAAAGCCAUUUCUGCAAGGCAACUCCGGAGCUAUCAUUAGGAACGUGAAGCAUGUGCAGAAGGCUCGGCUAGUGAAAGGUGUGUUUGCCGCCUGAGUCAUGCCGCUGUGUCAUAGCGAUGAAAAAGUUAGAGGAGGAACGGUCUACUCCACUAGGGACCUAGAGGCUCGAGCAGCGCGCAGGCCGGUGGGGUGGACGGCCGCCACCACCGCCCCCAGCCCCCAUCACCCCGCUCCACCGCCGGAUAGCUCCGGCGAGCUAGCAACGCGUCCGCGGUGCACAGGAAAUGUCUAACCGGAGAUCCUGAGCUACGUGGCGGGCAGGGCUGCCAGCUGCGGCCCGGGACCCGGCGGCGGCGGCGCCCGGGAGCACUACCCACCCGCGGACGGCGGCGGGCUGCGACCCUCGUCGGGCCCCUGGAGGCCCCUCUCCUAGCGCGAGCGGCCGGGGUGGGCGGUUUGUUUUCUCCACCUCAACCCCCCAACCCCGCCAUUGCGCUCCUGGGCUCACGGACGGGAGGCGUGAGAAGCCAGCGAGCAGCGCCCGCUCGUCGCGGCGCGAUCCCGCUGCCUGAAAACGCACCCCGCGUUCCUCUCACCGCCCCGGGACCCAGCCCGUGGAGGGUCGCCCCCUCUCAGACCCCCACCACCACCGCAGCCUCCUCGCCUCAGGAACACCCCGGGCCGCAACACCCGUUCUCC